rnacentral:piRNA from 1 species
UAACAAGUACUAUUCCGCAGAGAUCAACCU